rnacentral:rRNA from 1 species
UACGUAGGACCCAAGCGUUAUCCGGAGUGACUGGGCGUAAAGAGUUGCGUAGGUGGCUUGUAAAGUGAAUAGUGAAACCUGGUGGCUCAACCUACAGACUAUUAUUCAAACUCACAAGCUCGAGAAUGGUAGAGGUAACUGGAAUUUCUUGUGUAGGAGUGAAAUCCGUAGAUAUAAGAAGGAACACCAAUGGCGUAGGCAGGUUACUGGACCAUUUCUGACACUGAGGCACGAAAGCGUGGGGAGCGA